GAUCCUGGCUCAGGACGAACGCUGGCGGCGUGCCUAAUACAUGCAAGUAGAACGCUGAAGAGAGGAGCUUGCUCUUCUUGGAUGAGUUGCGAACGGGUGAGUAACGCGUAGGUAACCUGCCUUGUAGCGGGGGAUAACUAUUGGAAACGAUAGCUAAUACCGCAUAACAAUGGGUGACACAUGUCAUUUAUUUGAAAGGGGCAAUUGCUCCACUACAAGAUGGACCUGCGUUGUAUUAG
rnacentral:rRNA from 1 species